AUUUGUUUUCUCUUAUCUUGAAAUGUCCUAUAAUAGUACAAAUUACAUGAGCAAAUUUUUGUUAAUAUUAACCCUUUGAAAUGUUUUUUCGAACUAUGGAAGGAACAUGAUCUUGGAAGAAUGACUCAAGAGUUUAAUAUGAUAGUGCUGGUUUUGUACAUCCCUAAUUGCCUCCACAGGUAUCCUCAUAGGUAGUGAUUGUGUUAGAAUUGGUUGUACCGGUUCAAUCUAACCUGUCCAUUUUCAUAUAAUGGAUCGAGCGAGCGGCGAAACAGGAAAAGGGGAUGAGCAAAUCGAUUACGCUCGAGUGGUAGUUUGGUCGAAUGGCUACGAUUUGAGCGCAUACAAGUUCAGAAGCGAACCUAGAUUGGAGGAUAAAGAUGGAAAAAAAGAAUAUUUUUGUGUGCUAGAGAGAGACGAAGAGUUGUGAGUUUCUAUUUCAUUGAGAAGGAAAGAGUGUAAGUACAGUCAGUAAAUGCUUUGACUUGACAAAAUGGAAGAUAAAUUGAG